rnacentral:rRNA from 1 species
CAUGGGUGGUGGUGCAUGGCCGUUCUUAGUUGGUGGGUUGCCUUGUCAGGUUGAUUCCGGUAACGAACGAGACCUCGGCCUGCUAACUAGCUUCGGGGGGCUUUUGCCCCGCCGACGCUUCUUAGAGGGACUGCUGGCGUUCCAGCCAGCGGAAGCGCGAGGCGAUAACAGGUCUGUGAUGCCCUUAGAUGUUCUGGGCCGCACGCGCGCUACACUGGCGCGGGCAACGAGCUUUCCGUCCCGCCGAGAGGCGCGACGACUCUCCCAACCCGCGCCGUGACGGGGAUAGAUCCUUGGAAUUUUUGAUCUUCAACGAGGAAUGCCUAGUAGGCGCAAGUCAUCAGCUUGCGUCGAUUACGU